rfam:Ajellomyces capsulatus H143 genomic scaffold supercont2.2, whole genome shotgun sequence.
GGGCAAUUGGUUUAGUGGUAUAAUACCCCCUUAGCAUCCUCUUCCUAAUUCCGAAUUGGGAAGGAGCGAUGGGGGUGGUCCAGGGUUCGAUUCCCUGAUUGUCCA